rnacentral:rRNA from 1 species
CCUACGGGAGGCUGCAGUGAGGAAUAUUGGUCAAUGGACGAGAGUCUGAACCAGCCAAGUAGCGUGAAGGAUGACUGCCCUAUGGGUUGUAAACUUCUUUUAUAUGGGAAUAAAAUGUUCCACGUGUGGGAUUUUGUAUGUACCAUAUGAAUAAGGAUCGGCUAACUCCGUGCCAGCAGCCGCGGUAAUACGGAGGAUCCGAGCGUUAUCCGGAUUUAUUGGGUUAAAAGGUAGCGUAGGUGGAUUGUUAAGUCGGUGGUGAAAGUUUGCGGCUAAACCGUAGAAUUGCAGUUGAAACUGGCAGUCUGGAGUACAGUAGAGGUGGGCGGAAUUCGUGGUGUAGCGGUGAAAUGCUUAGAUAUCACGAAGAACUCCGAUUGCGAAGGCAGCUCACUGAACUGCAACUGACACUGAGGCUCGAAAGUGUGGGUAUCAAACAGGAUUAGAUACCCGAGUAGUC